rnacentral:lncRNA from 1 species
UGAAAGUCAGGUCGGAUUAAGCCAUAGUACGGGAAAAACUAUGCUACCUGUGAGCCCCGUCCAAGGACGUAAAAAGAAGUCAGGCCAUCACAAAUGCCACAGCUUGAGCAAACUGUGCAGCCUGUAGCUCCACCUGAGG